rnacentral:lncRNA from 1 species
CGGCGCGGGCACGACGGAACGACCCAGAAUAUAGAGUGUCUCCCUAAAACGGCAGAGAGCAGAGAUGUGCUCAAGGGGUAGUGAUAUCUCUGUGGAGACGGCAAAGGCAUCGGAGGAGAAGCGCGGGUGCGGGUGGUCACCGUGCGCUAGAUGGGGAUGGAGGGGAGGUGGUGCGGGGGCCGGCGGGGGCGGAGGUUAUCGCUUCUCGGCCUUUUGGCUAAGAUCAAGUGUAGUAUCUGUUCUUAUCAGUUUAAUAUCUGAUACGUCCUCUAUCCGAGGACAAUAUGUUGAGUGGGUUUUUGGAGCUGGGGGUUGGAGUAGGAGCUUGCUCCGUCCACUCCACGCAUCGACCUGGUAUUGCAGUACUGCCGGGAACGGUGCACUUCUCUCUCUUUACGUUGGUCUAACGAGAGAUCUAGGUUAAGCCUUGGCUUCUCCCUGUUUCUGUAUCCGCUUUUCACUUCCGGGCGUGCGGCGUUUCUGCACUGUUACCACUCGUCGCGUGGCUGCAGUUCUCCGAGGCUGGCGUUGACCCCGUUCUCCCUGGUGUGUGCACUGUUACCACUCGUCGCGUGGCUGCAGUUCUCCGAGGCUGGCGUUGACCCCGUUUUCCCUGGUGUGUGAGACGGUCUGGUCGGACGCAUUCCGCAGCUGCUGUCUCGCUGGCGAGACCUUGAACCUCAAGUUCUCUUCUCCGAUCUCCUAUAUGCUCCCAGGGCUCGCGGCUGUGUUUUCAGGGGGGCGCCGGCCUUUUCUCUCUCGACCCUCUCUCUCUCGUUCCGCUGGCCUUGGCUCCACGUAGUCGCUUACGCAUGCACGCUCUCGNCUGCAGUUCUCCGAGGCUGGCGUUGACCCCGUUUUCCCUGGUGUGUGAGACGGUCUGGUCGGACGCAUUCCGCAGCUGCUGUCUCGCUGGCGAGACUUUGAACCUUAAGUUCUCUUCUCCGAUCUCCUGUAUGCUCCCAGGGCUCGCGGCUGUUUUCUGGGGGGCGCCGGCCUUUUCUCUCUCGACCCUCUCUCUCGUUCCGCUGGCCUUGGCUCCACGUAGUCGCUUACGCAUGCACGCUCUCGCUCUCCUAACUGACCCCCGCGCCGGCGUUGGGUCACCAGCGACCAAGUCUGUCCAGCCGCAGGUCACUCCCUGGAAGGUCUGAGCUCCCUGUCUGUCUCAGACGUUUUUCCUGGUCGUCGUAACAGCCCCACAGACGGCCUCUCGAGACGUUCCUUGACGUGGGCCCACCCCCAGCCACUCACUGCCCUGGUCCGGCUCUGGAUCUAGCCUUUUACCAAGGGCUUUAACAACCCCUCCGCUCUGGGCAUCACACUCUCCAAUCACCUUCUCCCCUCUCUCGGCCCCUCCCUCCUUCAGCUACCCUCUGGUACCUGCCGCCUGAUGGUUUUCUUUCCUUUCUUUGUUUUGCUUUUUAAGGCCGCAGCCGUGGCAUGUGGAAGUUCCCAGGCUAGGGGUCUGAAUCCGCGCUGCGGCUGCCGGCCCACGCCACCGCCACCGCCACCGCCACCGCCACGCCCGAUCCAAGCCGUGUCUGCGACCUGUAUACCACAGCUCCGCGCAACGCCGGGUCCUUAACCCACUGAGCCAGGCCAGGGGUGGAACCCCUGUCCUCAUGGAUACUAGUCGGAGUCGUUACUGCUGAACCACGGCAGGAACUCUUUCGAGACAAGAAAAAGUUAAACACAGAUGAUGAUGAUGUUGUUGUUGUUGUUGUUGUUUUCCCCCCUCUGCCCCUUUGGGCCUCCUGCCUCCCCUCUAGUGUGCACUGUGCAUCUACCUGAAGCAUGAACCUGUCUUCCGCACCGCACCGCACCCCCACCCCCACCCCCACGCCCACGCCCACGCCCCGAGGCGGGAAUGAAUACUUGCUGGAUCCUCAAGAUCCACCGUUUUCUCCUUCUGGCGGCGGCCAUGUCACUCCUUAGAAGGUAGUACUGCCUUUCGCAUGACCCACCACUCACCUUGUGGUCUUUGGUGAAAGACGCUUUACGUACGAUGCCGCUAUAUCAUUUCCCUCAGAGACAGAGACUGGUACUUAGAACAGACUGGGUCAGACGACGUGCGGAGGUCCUGGGCACCUCCUGGGGUUCUUGGCCUAAAUACUUCCCGACGGCCUUGGUGGGGUUACUUGCAUUUCUGCCUGUUUUACGAGAUCAUUGUUCCUUGCAGUAGCCACCGUGUUGGCCGAGCCUCGGACUUGGUGACGUGCGACGAUGGAUCCGAUAUCGGCUUCUCCAAGACCAGUGAUUGCCACAGGGCGUUCGCGUCGUGGCGCAGCGGAAACGGAUCCGACUGGUACCCAUGGGGAUGCGGGUUCGAACGCCGGCCUCGCUCAGCGGGUCGGGGAUCCGGCGUUUCCGUGAGCUGUGGUGUAGGUAGCAGACGCGGCUCGGCUCCCACGCGGCUGUGGCUUAGGCCGACAGCUGUCGCUCCCCUUCGACCCCUAGCCUGGGACCUUCCAUAUGCCACUGGCGCCGCCCUAAAAAUAGAAAAAAGAAAAAAAAAAAUUGCAGCAGACUCAUAGACUUUGCCAACAGACUUACCCCUUUGGUUACCAAAGGGGAAAGGUGGGAGUUUGGGGGAGGGGUGGGAUCAAUGGGGGGGUUGGGGAUUAACCCCCACACACACGCGCUCCUAUGUUUAGAAGCGAGACCCGACAGGCACCUUCCCUGUGUGUGUCGCAUAGGGAACUCGACUCCACAUGCUGUAAUAACCUGUAUGGGAAAAGAAUCUGAAAAAGGAAUGGAUAGUGCAUAACUUGAUGGCUUUGCUGUACCCCUGAGCCAACAGGACAUUGUACAUCAGCUGUACUCCGAUACAAAAUACAAAAUUAAAGAAAAUCAGCGACGGCAAUGGUGUAAUUCUAGAGGGGAGAGAGAAAGCAACACGAGGGAACCAUUUCCUGACUUGUGAGACGUUUCCAGACUAGUGGGACAGGCGGUCGGGAGGCUUUGGGCUAUGGUGAACAGGGCAUCGGCUGGUAACGGCACAUUGGCCUUGAUGAGCAACGUAAUCCUUGCCCGACCUGCGACUGAGCAUUCCUAGCCAAGUGGGACCGUGUGGUCAAGCAACGCACCCCUCCCACCCCCGGCCCCGCCAAGCCGCGGUGGACCUUAAGACCGAGAGGGAGGGGCUCGUAAACUCAAGAACGUCGCCCGCCAUCUCUGUAAGAAUCAAGUCCAGGAGUUCCCGUCGUGGCGCAGUGGCUAACCAAUCGGACGAGGAACCAUGAGGUCGCGGGUUCGGUCCCUGCCCUUGCUCAGCGGGUUAAGGAUCCGGCGUCGCCCUGAGCUGUGGUGAAGGCCGCAGACGCGGCUCGGAUCCCGUGCUGCUGUGGCUGUGGCGUAGGCCGGUGGCUACAGCUCCGAUGAGACUCCUAGCCUGGGAACCUCCAUAUGCCGCGGGAGCGGCCCAAGAAAUGGCAGAAAGACCAAAAGAAGAAAAAAAAAAAAGAAGAAGAAUCAAGUCCAGUCGGAGUUCCCCCAGGAACGUCCACAUGCCUCCUGCAUGGCAUAAAUAAAUAAAUAAAUAAAUAAAUAAAUAAACGAACU